GCAUGCGAGGGCAAUGUGCCUGUGACAUCUGUCACCCCUUUGUUCUCUAGGGUUGACUCUGCUUAUCUGGCUAAGCAGGUAUCACCUUCCUCCCUCAUGUCCUAUGUGCAUCCCUCCUGAAUCUGUGCACUCAAUCAAGAGGUUGGCCUUCACCAAUAGGGAAGAGCCAAUCUUCUUGCUCCUUAGCCAGAGUCUCCAAACUCUCAUGAGGAGCCACAACAA
rnacentral:snRNA from 1 species